rnacentral:rRNA from 1 species
UUCUUACUGAUAUUAUUGUAAGUAACGCCUGCUCAUGAUUUUUAAAUAGCCGCGGAAAUUUAACUGUGCUAAGGUAGCAUAAUCAUUAGCCUUUUAAUUGAAGGCCCGUAUGAAUGGUGUCACAUUUCAAUAUCUUUAUUAAAUAAAAUAUUAAAAUUUAAAUUAAGAAUAAAAAUGUUCUUAUAUAUUAAAUAGACGAUAAGACCCUUUUGAACUUUACUUCUGUUUAGCUGGGGCAGCUAAAAAAUUACAAUCUUUCUUUUAUUUUAAAAUAUAAAUUUUCCAAUAAAAUUGAAUACUAACAAGUUACCAAAGGGAUAACAGCGUAAUAUUUUCUUAAAGUUCUUAUAAAAAAAAAUGAUUGCGACCUCGAUGUUGAAUUAGUGAAACUUUACAGAUGCAAUAAUUUUAAAAGUAAGUCUGUUCGACUUUUAAAUCACUACAU